UUGGAGGGCAAGUCUGGUGCCAGCAGCCGCGGUAAUUCCAGCUCCAAUAGCGUAUAUUAAAGUCGUUGCAGUUAAAAAGCUCGUAGUUGAAUUUCGGGAUCAAUGUUUCGGUCAUGCCGUUGGUAUGUACUGAUAUUAUUGAUUUCUCACCUUCUAAAGAACCGUAAUGCCAUUAAUUUGGUGUCACGGGGAAUUAGGACUGUUACCUUGAAAAAAUUAGAGUGUUUAAAGCAGGCUCACGCUUGAAUACAUUAGCAUGGAAUAAUGAAAUAGGACAUCCGAUGCUAUUUUGUUGGUUUCUAGGAUCGAUGUAAUGAUUAAUAGGGAUAGUUGGGGGCAUUAGUAUUCAAUUGUCAGAGGUGAAAUUCUUGGAUUUAUUGAAGACUAACUACUGCGAAAGCAUUUGCCAAGGAUGUUUUCAUUAAUCAAGAACGAAAGUUAGGGGAUCGAAGACGAUCAGAUACCGUCGUAGUCUUAACCAUAAACUAUGCCGACUAGGGAUCGGAUGAUGUUAAUCUUUUAAUGACUCAUUCGGCGCCUUACGGGAAACCAAAGUGUUUGGGUUC
rnacentral:rRNA from 1 species